rnacentral:rRNA from 1 species
AUUCCAGCUCCAAUAGCGUAUACUAAAGUUGUUGCAGUUAAAAAGCUCGUAGUUGGAUUUCUGGUAGGAGCGACCGGUCCGCCCUGUUAAGGGUGUGUACUGGCGUUGUCUCUGGCCAUCCUUGGGGGAACUGCGCGGGGAGACUUGCGUUAGGGAACCCAUCGUUUACUGUGAAAAAAUUAGAGUGUUUAAAGCAGGCUUAUGCCGUUGAAUACAUUAGCAUGGAAUAAUAAGAUAGGACCGCGUGGUCGUCUUGUUGGUUUGCACCGCGAGGUAAUGAUUAAUAGGUACAGUUGGGGGUAUUCGUAUUUAAUUGUCAGAGGUGAAAUUCUUGGAUUUAUGAAAGACGAACUUCUGCGAAAGCAUUUACCAAGGAUGUUUUCAUUA